ACCUGGGAGCGGCGGGCUGCUGCGGGAGGCGUUGGAGACUGGCUCCCGGGGGCUGUUAGGACCUUCCCUCAGGCCUGGGUGCUCAGAACGCUGGAGGACUUGCUUUUCUUGGGCCUUGAUGCGAAGUGCUGACCCCGCUGGGCAGGCGGGGCAGCUCCGGCGCUCCUCGGAGACCACUGCGCUCCACGUUGAGGUUCUUACGUCUGUUGCUAGAUUAUCGUCCAAAAGUGUUAAUGCCCAAGUGACUGACAUCAACUCCAAGGGACUGGAAUUGAGGAAGACUGUUACUACAGUUGAGACUCAGAACUUGGAAGACCUGCAUCAUGAUGGCCAAUUCUGCCAUAAGCCCUGUCCUCCAGGUGAAAGGAAAGCUAGGGACUGCACAGUCAAUGGGGAUGAACCAGACUGCGUGCCCUGCCAAGAAGGGAAGGAGUACACAGACAAAGCCCAUUUUUCUUCCAAAUGCAGAAGAUGUAGAUUGUGUGAUGAAGGACAUGGCUUAGAAGUGGAAAUAAACUGCACCCGGACCCAGAAUACCAAGUGCAGAUGUAAACCAAACUUUUUUUGUAACUCUACUGUAUGUGAACACUGUGACCCUUGCACCAAAUGUGAACAUGGAAUCAUCAAGGAAUGCACACUUGCCAGCAACACCAAGUGCAAAGAGGAAGGAUCCAGAUCUAACUUGUGGUGGCUUUGUCUUCUUCUUUUGCCAAUUCCACUAAUUGUUUGGG
rnacentral:sRNA from 1 species